GGCCCCGUAGCACAGUCGGUAGUGCAUCGUACUUAUAGGAAAGAGAAAUGCGAGGGUUGAGGGUUCGAUCCAUCUCUGCUGGGAUCA
rnacentral:tRNA from 2 species